ensembl:lncRNA novel transcript
AUUGGCGGGAAACUCAUCCACCUCGGCCUCUUCCUCUGUGAUAGGCACCACCGCGCGGGCCAGGCUGGCACUGAGGGCCUCCAGUUUCUCCACUGGGCUCUCUGAGUCCAGCGCGUAGGUGCCCUCACUGGCUUUCCCCUCUGCUUGGGCCUGACCCUCAGCUUGAGGGGAUAGUGAACGUUGAGCGACUGGCAGAGGCUGAAGUUCAUCAAUGAAGCCCAGUAGGGUGCUGUAGAAUUAGGUGAAGGUGGCCAUGACUCUGUAGUCCACGUCUGUCCGGUGGUCGUGGGAGAAAGCACAGGGGGUGAUCCACACGAUGGGCUGUGCCAGCACCUCAGCCUGGUAGUAAAUGCGUUUGAUGGACAGGAAGACCUUGCUCGGGGCACAGGCAGCGAUGAUGUAAUACGUGAACUCCGCUGCGAGCCUGCAGCACAGCGGAACGAUCUGCACAUGGCACUUGUCAGUCCGGGGGAAGGUGGAAAAGAGGAAGCACGUGGAGAAGGCGGAGCCGCCCAGGUCCCCCCGGGCGUCGAUGAAUGUGGGGUACCAUUCCUUGAUGAUGUGGUCAUGUUUGUAGUCGGCCUUAUUGUCCUUUAGAUGUUCCACGGUGUUCCGCUCGCUCUUCUCAUAGGCCUCCCGGGGCUUCCGGACAGACACCUUGCAUUCUCGGACCUUGUUGACGAUGAAUUCUUGGAUGAGAAACCUGAUAUCUUCCAUGAGGCAGUCAUCAUAAAGAAGUCUGAAUAUCUUGGUUGAGAGCUAGACUUUGGAAACAGAGAGACCCUGUAUAAUAACAGACUAAGAAGUAAGGAAGACAAGCCCAGCCAGUCCCACAACUAUUUCAUUAAUACCAGGUAAAGCAACAGACCUGCCAGUGAAGCAUCUUGGAUCCUUUAGCUUUAGGCUCAUAGGUGGAAGGAACUUAUCUCAAAUGAAGUUUUGUACCAUGGACUUUUGUGUUAAUGGAGAAAUGAGUUAAGACUUUGGGUAAUUUUUGAACAGCAUGAUUGGUUUUGAAAUGUGAGGACCUGAGAUUUGGAAGAGGUCAGGGGUGGAAUGAUAUGGUUUGGCUGUGUCCCUAACCAACUCUCAUCUUGAAUUGUAGCUCCCAUAAUCUCUGUAUGUCAUGGGAGGGACCCAGUAGGAAGUAAUUGAAUCAUAAGGGCAGGUCUUUCCUGUGCUGUUCUCAUGGUAGGGAUUAAGUCCCAGAAGAUCUGAUGAUUUUGUAAAGAGCAGUUCCCAUACACAGAUUCUCUUGUGUGCCGCCGUGUAAGACAUGCCUUUGCUCCUCCUUUGCCUUCAGCCGUGGUUGUGAGACCUCCCCAGUCAUGUGGAACUGUGAGUUCAUUAAACCUCCUUUUCUUUAUAAAUUA